rnacentral:rRNA from 1 species
CCCGCACAAGCGGUGGAGCAUGUGGUUUAAUUCGACGCAACGCGAAAAACCUUACCUGGGCUUGACAUGGAGAGAAUCUUCUGGAAACAGAAGAGUGCCUCGUAAGAGGAGCUCUCACACAGGUGCUGCAUGGCUGUCGUCAGCUCGUGCCGUGAGGUGUUGGGUUAAGUCCCGCAACGAGCGCAACCCUUGUCAUUAGUUGCUACAUUCAGUUGGGCACUCUAAUGAGACUGCCGGUGACAAGCCGGAGGAAGGUGGGGAUGACGUCAAGUCCUCAUGGCCCUUAUAGGUGGGGCUACACACGUCAUACAAUGGCUGGUACAAAGGGUUGCCAACCCGCGAGGGGGAGCCAAUCCCAUAAAGCCAGUCGUAGUCCGGAUCGUAGUCUGCAACUCGACUACGUGAAGUCGGAAUCGCUAGUAAUCGUGGAUCAGAAUGUCACGGUGAAUACGUUCCCGGGUCUU